UACGGAGGAUCCGAGCGUUAUCCGGAUUUAUUGGGUUUAAAGGGUGCGUAGGUGGCCUGUUAAGUCGGGGGUGAAAGACGGUAGCUCAACUAUCGCAGUGCCCUUGAUACUGAUGGGCUUGAAUGAACUAGAGGUAGGCGGAAUGUGACAAGUAGCGGUGAAAUGCAUAGAUAUGUCACAGAACACCAAUUGCGAAGGCAGCUUACUAUGGUUUUAUUGACACUGAGGCACGAAAGCGUGGGGAUCAAACAGG
rnacentral:rRNA from 1 species